rnacentral:misc_RNA from 1 species
UUUCCGUAGGUGAACCUGCGGAAGGAUCAUUAAAGAGAAUAUGCCCUUCGGGGUAGAUCUCCCACCCUUUGUUUAUAUUACCUUUGUUGCUUUGGCAGGCCCGUCUUCGAACCACCGGCUUCGGCUGGUCAGUGCUUGCCAGAGGACCCAAAACUCUUAUUAUUAAUGUCGUCUGAGUACUAUAUAAUAGUUAAAACUUUCAACAACGGAUCUCUUGGUUCUG